UGGGGAAUUUUGGACAAUGGGCGCAAGCCUGAUCCAGCCAUGCCGCGUGUCUGAAGAAGGCCUUCGGGUUGUAAAGGACUUUUGUCAGGGAAGAAAAGGACAGGGUUAAUACCUCUGUUUGAUGACGGUACCUGAAGAAUAAGCACCGGCUAACUACGUGCCAGCAGCCGCGGUAAUACGUAGGGUGCGAGCGUUAAUCGGAAUUACUGGGCGUAAAGCGAGCGCAGGCGGUCUGUCAAGUCGGAUGUGAAAUCCCCGGGCUCAACCUGGGAACUGCAUUCGAAACUGGCAGGCUAGAGUCUUGUAGAGGGGGGUAGAAUUCCAGGUGUAGCGGUGAAAUGCGUAGAGAUGUGGAGGAAUACCGAUGGCGAAGGCAGCCUCCUGGGAUAACACUGACGUUCAUGCUCGAAAGCGUGGGUAGCAAACAGGAUUAGAUACCCUGGUAGUCCACGCCCUAAACGAUGUCAAUUAGCUGUUGGGCAACUUGAUUGCUUAGUAGCGUAGCUAACGCGUGAAAUUGACCGCCUGGGGAGUACGGUCGCAAGAUUA
rnacentral:rRNA from 1 species